CAGCAGCCGCGGGAAAACGAAGGGUGCAAGCGUUAAUCGGAAUUACUGGGCGUAAAGCGCACGUAGGCGGCUUGGUAAGUUAGAGGUGAAAGCCCGGAGCUCAACUCCGGAAUUGCCUUUAAGACUGCCGAGCUAGUAGGUGAGAGAGGUAAGUGGAAUUCCGAGUGUAGAGGUGAAAUUCGUAGAUAUUCGGAAGAACACCAGUGGCGAAGGCGGCUUACUGGCUCAUUCUAGACGCUGAGGUGCGAAAGCGUGGGGAGCAAACAGGAUUAGAUACCCCGGUAGUCCCUGUCUCUUAUAC
rnacentral:rRNA from 1 species